rnacentral:rRNA from 1 species
ACCCAAUGUGAACGUUACCAAACUGUUGCCUCGGCGGGAUCUCUGCCCCGGGUGCGUCGCAGCCCCGGACCAAGGCGCCCGCCGGAGGACCAACCAAAACUCUUAUUGUAUACCCCCUCGCGGGUUUUUUUUUUUUAUAAUCUGAGCCUUCUCGGCGCCUCUCGUAGGCGUUUCGAAAAUGAAUCAAAACUUUCAACAACGGAUCUCUUGGUUCUGGCAUCGAUGAAAAACGCAGCGAAAUGCGAUAAGUAAUGUGAAUUGCAAAAUUCAGUGAAUCAUCAAAUCUUUGAACGCACAUUGCGCCCGCCAGUAUUCUGGCGGGCAUGCCUGUCCAAGCGUCAUUUCAACCCUCGAACCCCUCCGGGGGGUCGGCGUUGGGGAUCGGCCCUCCCUUAGCGGGUGGCCGUCUCCGAAAUACAGUGGCGGUCUCGCCGCAGCCUCUCCUGCGCAGUAGUUUGCACACUCGCAUCGGGAGCGCGGCGCGUCCACAGCCGUUAAACACCCAACUUCUGAAAUGUUGACCUCGGAUCAGGUAGGAAUACCCGCUGAACUUAAGCAUAUCGAAAGUCGGAAAGAAAUG